rnacentral:ncRNA from 1 species
ACUGAGACACGGCCCAGACUCCUACGGGAGGCAGCAGUCGGGAAUCUUGGGCAAUGGGCGGAAGCCUGACCCAGCGACGCCGCGUGGGGGAAGAAGGCCUUCGGGUCGUAAACCCCUGUUGCCUGGGACGAACGGCCAUGGGAGGAAAUGCCCAUGGUUUGACGGUACCGGGCGAGGAAGCCACGGCCAACUACGUGCCAGCAGCCGCGGUAAUACGUAGGUGGCGAGCGUUGUCCGGAAUGACUGGGCGUAAAGGGCGUGUAGGCGGCCUGGUAAGCGGUGGGUGAAAGACCGGAGCUCAACUUCGGGGGUGCCCAUCGGACUGCCGGGCUUGAGUGGGUCAGAGGGCAGCGGAAUUCCCGGUGUAGCGGUGAAAUGCGUAGAGAUCGGGAGGAACACCAGUGGCGAAGGCGGCUGCCUGGGGCCCAACUGACGCUGAGGCGCGAAAGCUGGGGGAGCAAACAGGAUUAGAUACCCUGGUAGUCCCAGCCGUAAACGAUGAGCGCUACGUGUGAGGGGUAUCGACCCCCCUCGUGCGGAAGCAAACGCAUUAAGCGCUCCGCCUGGGGAGUACGGCCGCAAGGCUGAAACUCAAAGGAAUUGACGGGGGCCCGCACAAGCGGUGGAGCAUGUGGUUUAAUUCGAAGCAACGCGUAGAACCUUACCUGGGCUUGACAUGCCGGUGGUAGGAGGCCGAAAGGCUGACGACCCAGGCUUAGGUCUGGGAGCCGGCACA